rnacentral:misc_RNA from 1 species
CUUGUUUCGCUCUGUGCCCAUGCCCUUUUGGGGGCGAUCAUGGAUGCGGAGAUUGGCCCUCCGUGCCUUGUGUGCGGCGGGCUUAAGCGCGGGCUGUCGGUGUCGGGAUGGGCACGACGAGUGGUGGACGGAGCACCAGUAGGAUGUUGUGGUCCCCCGUCGCCCUAAGGGGCUCAAGACCCGGACUAGGCCAGCCGUGCUCCGUAAGAGGAGGGCGAGCUGUCUCGCAAU